rnacentral:rRNA from 1 species
GAUGAACGCUGGCGGCGUGCCUAAUACAUGCAAGUCGAGCGAACAGACGAGGAGCUUGCUCCUCUGACAUUAGCGGCGGACGGGUGAGUAACACGUGGAUAACCUACCUAUAAGACUGGGAUAACUUCGGGAAACCGGAGCUAAUACCGGAUAAUAUAUUGAACCGCAUGGUUCAAUAGUGAAAGACGGUUUUGCUGUCACUUAUAGAUGGAUCCGCGCCGCAUUAGCUAGUUGGUAAGGUAACGGCUUACCAAGGCGACGAUGCGUAGCCGACCUGAGAGGGUGAUCGGCCACACUGGAACUGAGACACGGUCCAGACUCCUACGGGAGGCAGCAGUAGGGAAUCUUCCGCAAAGGGCGAAAGCCUGACGGAGCAACGCCGCGUGAGUGAUGAAGGUCUUCGGAUCGUAAAACUCUGUUAUUAGGGAAGAACAAAUGUGUAAGUAACUAUGCACGUCUUGACGGUACCUAAUCAGAAAGCCACGGCUAACUACGUG